AUGACUCCUGUCAGACACAGCUUGUUUCUUUUUGCUCUCUGGAUUAAAGGUCUAACAGAUGGCAGUGUCGUCACUCAGACUCCUCUGCUGUGGGUCAACCAGAGUCAGUCCACCAUCAUGAACUGCAGUCACAACAAAGAUGCUACUUACUACCAGAUGUACUGGUACCAGCAGCUGCCGGGUCAGAACAUGAAGCUGAUAGUUUUUACGACAACAUCUCCUCCAUUCCAGUAUGAAGACGGCUUCAGCAAGGAGAAGUUUCCAGCGGACAGGAAGGACGCUCUGAGCGGAUCUCUGACGGUGAAGCAGCUGCAGCCUGAAGACAGCGGAGUGUAUUUCUGUUCAGUCAGUCAACACAGUGAUGAGGCCGAGUGAAAGAGCUGCACAAAAACCCAGCUGCUGGAGACACAGUGAAGUUACACUUCAUCAGCAGCAGGGGGAGCUCUCAAUUCAAACUAUGUAGCACCUCAACAUGUUUGCAAAGUGCUGAGUAUUUAAUCUUUUAUAAAUAUGAAAAGAAAAAUGGUUUAGACAGUAACAGUGAUUAUUUCAACCAAAAAUGGUGAAAUACUGCGGUAGAGGAAAACUCUUGUUUUGUUUUUGUGUUGUUCGGUCACAUACUGGCAUUUUUUGGGUCUGUGUUUUAAUCAACAAUUAAAUUACAAAUAUUCCAAUAAUUGAUUAAUCAGGAUUAAUUCAAUUCCUCGUUUCCGCCCUAAACUACAAGCUUUUGAAAUGGUUCUGGUUUGUGUCUCCUCCCCUCUCAUAGUUGAUCCUCUAACAUGAGUUCAGCUCGUCAGUCGCUGCAGAGACAGAGAGGAAGAC